ACGCUACAGUGCUACUGGCCCAUAAUCAGGCAACUGCAGAGUCUUAGGGGGUUAUCUAAUGUAGUCUUGGGGUGGCUGGAUAGACUUCCCAAAGAAGGUGAUGCCGAAGCUGAGGUCGGAAAUUACGAAGAUCAGCUAUCAAACUUGGAAAUCAUGUCUUAGAGAUCAAGGAGCCAAGAGAUGAGACAAGCCUGGGUUCCUAGGUGAUAGGGUGUGGCUGUGUCCCCACCCAAAUCUCGUCUUGAAUUGUAGCUCCCAUAAUCCCCACAUGUUGUGGAGGGACCCUGUGGAAGGUAAUUGAAUUAUGGAGAGAAACAUCAUCAGUGGUGUAGAAGAGCUCAGGGAAGCAAGGAGGGCUGCUGUGAAUGACACCAUGAAUUUCUGAAUGUGAUGUCCCUUCAAUUCAUGAGCACGACCAACACCUCCUCUUCUCCGUCCUUUGCAGCCUACUCACUGUGAAGACAAUGAGGGUGAAAACCUUCAUGAUGAUCCACUUCCACUUCAUGAACAGGAAAUAUGUUUUUUCUCUUCCUUAUGAUUUUUUAAAAACAUUUUCUUUUCUCUUGCAUGCUUGAUUGUAAGAGUGCAGUACAUAUUAUAUAUAUAUAAUAUACAAAAUAUGUGUUAAUCAGCUAUGUGUUAGCCAACUAUGUUAUUAAUGUAAGACUUUUUAUGAUUUUCUAUAUAACAUUUUCUUUUUUCUAGCUUACUUUAUUAUAGGAAUACAGUAUACAGUACGUACAACAUGCAAAAUCAGUGUUAAUCAACAGUUUAUGUUAUUGGCAAGGCUUCAGGUCAAUAGUAGGCUAUUUGUAGUUAAGUUUUCUAGUUAAAGUUGUAUGUGGAUUUUCACCCGCUUGGGGGUUCGGCACCCCUAAGCUCUGUUUUGCUCAAGGUCAACUGUAUAAUUUUUCAGCCUUGGCCCAUUGGCAAAUGGACAGAAACAUUUGUAAACUUUGCAACUACAAAGAAAAGUACAGUUUGGGGGCAAUAAAAAGUUAAAAUUUCUUUUGGAUAUUGAUAGAAACUUCAAAGAAAGAUGAUGCAAGACUAUGAAUACAAAUAAGUUUUAAAAAUCAUGUCAAAGAUGAUUCCUUUUAUUGUUCUUAGAACACUGUAAUGUAUAGAAUAAACUCAGUUUUAAAUG
ensembl:lncRNA CCDC26 CCDC26 long non-coding RNA